rnacentral:rRNA from 1 species
AAUUGAAGAGUUUGAUCAUGGCUCAGAUUGAACGCUGGCGGCAGGCCUAACACAUGCAAGUCGAACGGUAACAGGAAGAAGCUUGCUUCUUUGCUGACGAGUGGCGGACGGGUGAGUAAUGUCUGGGAAACUGCCUGAUGGAGGGGGAUAACUACUGGAAACGGUAGCUAAUACCGCAUAACGUCGCAAGACCAAAGAGGGGGACCUUCAGGCCUCUUGCCAUCGGAUGUGCCCAGAUGGGAUUAGCUAGUAGGUGGGGUAAUGGCUCACCUAGGCGACGAUCCCUAGCUGGUCUGAGAGGAUGACCAGCCACACUGGAACUGAGACACGGUCCAGACUCCUACGGGAGGCAGCAGUGGGGAAUAUUGCACAAUGG